rnacentral:rRNA from 1 species
AUUGAACGCUGGCGGCAUGCUUUACACAUGCAAGUCGAACGGUAACAGGCCGCAAGGUGCUGACGAGUGGCGAACGGGUGAGUAAUGCAUCGGAACGUGCCCAGUCGUGGGGGAUAACUACUCGAAAGAGUAGCUAAUACUGCAUACGAUCUAUGGAUGAAAGCGGGGGACCGUAAGGCCUCGCGCGAUUGGAGCGGCCGAUGUCAGAUUAGGUAGUUGGUGGGGUAAAGGCUCACCAAGCCAACGAUCUGUAGCUGGUCUGAGAGGACGACCAGCCACACUGGGACUGAGACACGGCCCAGACUCCUACGGGAGGCAGCAGUGGGGAAUUUUGGACAAAGGGCGCAAGCCUGAUCCAGCAAUGCCGCGUGCAGGAAGAAGGCCUUCGGGUUGUAAACUGCUUUUGUACGGAACGAAACGGCUCUGGUUAAUACCCGGGGCUAAUGACGGUACCGUAAGAAUAAGCACCGGCUAACUACGUG